UAAAAAUUAGUUAAUCUAAAUAACAUUAGUUUGUCAAACUAAAAUAAUCCCAAGAUAUUUUUAU
rnacentral:tRNA from 1 species